rnacentral:rRNA from 1 species
GUCGAGCGGAGUUUUGAAAAGCUUGCUUUUCAAAACUUAGCGGCGGACGGGUGAGUAACACGUGGGCAACCUGCCCUUGAGACGGGGAUAACUCCGGGAAACCGGAGCUAAUACCGGAUAACACAUAUCUUCGCAUGAAGAUAUGUUAGAAGGUGGCUUUUAGCUACCACUCAAGGAUGGGCCCGCGGCGCAUUAGCUAGUUGGUGAGGUAACGGCUCACCAAGGCGACGAUGCGUAGCCGACCUGAGAGGGUGAUCGGCCACACUGGGACUGAGACACGGCCCAGACUCCUACGGGAGGCAGCAGUAGGGAAUCUUCCGCAAUGGACGAAAGUCUGACGGAGCAACGCCGCGUGAGUGAUGAAGGUUUUCGGAUCGUAAAGCUCUGUUGUUAGGGAAGAACAAGUACCUGUUGAAUAAGCAGGUACCUUGACGGUACCUAACCAGAAAGCCACGGCUAACUACGUGCCAGCAGCCGCGGUAAUACGUAGGUGGCAAGCGUUGUCCGGAAUUAUUGGGCGUAAAGCGCGCGCAGGCGGUUCCUUAAGUCUGAUGUGAAAGCCCACGGCUCAACCGUGGAGGGUCAUUGGAAACUGGGGAACUUGAGUGCAGAAGAGGAGAGCGGAAUUCCACGUGUAGCGGUGAAAUGCGUAGAGAUGUGGAGGAACACCAGUGGCGAAGGCGGCUCUCUGGUCUGUAACUGACGCUGAGGCGCGAAAGCGUGGGGAGCGAACAGGAUUAGAUACCCUGGUAGUCCACGCCGUAAACGAUGAGUGCUAAGUGUUAGA